rnacentral:lncRNA from 1 species
UGGGAUUGGGUCACAUGUUUGGUCAAAAUAGGUUGGCAAAUCAUUUAAAUAUAUAUUAAAGAGACAGGGACUGAGAUUAUCCCCUUGUCUUACUCCUAUAUUUGAUUUAAAAAGGUUUGUCCUGUGUUGGUCUAUUUUCACACAAGUUUCUGUGUUUUCAUACAUACAUUUUAUAAUGUCAUAAAAUUUUGUUCCAACACCUAUACAUUUAAGUUUGUAAAAAAAGGUGGAGAUGUGAAACUGAAUCAAAUGCACGCUUAAAAUCUACAAAGCAUGCAUACAGAGGCUUCGAAUUAUUUUUCACAAAUUUUUGAAUGAUGGUAUUUAACACAUACAUAUGGUCUGUUGUGCGACAUCCUUUAGUAAAACCAAUUUGCUCACUUCUAAUUAUAUUUCUAGUUUUUAAAAAUUUUGUCAACCUGUUAUUUAGAAUUGAAUUAAAUAACUUGCCUAUGUUAUCUGCAAUAGUAAUGCCCCUGUAGUUUGAUGGAUCAUGUUUAGAUCCAGACUUGUGAAGGGGGGUGAUAAAGCCUUGGCCCCAUAAUUUUGGAUAAAUACUACUGGAAAAUACUAAAUUAAAGAGUUUUUGUAUUAGAGGGAUACAAACGGUUUGGCUAUAUUUUAUCAUUUCAUUCGAGAUCAUGCUGAAUCCACUCGAUUUAGAAUUCUUAAGACUUUUUAUUGCUUUUUCUAUUUCCUCAGGUGUUAUUAAGUAGUCAAGUUCAUUAAAAACAUUUUCAUUAUGGAAUGAUUCAAGUUUCUUCUUAAUCAAAUCAUCACUAUAUUGUUCAUUCUUAUUUAAUUUUUGAAAGUAUUCUUGCCAUUCAGAUGGGUCGAUAGUAUUCUCAGAUUUGUUUUGACUAUUAUUUGAGAUAUUUUUAAUUUUAUCUAGUAGUUGCCAAUAGGCUUUGGGAUUUUGAUCAUAUAAAUUAUCGAGUUUAUUCAUGAUGUCUUGUUUGAAUUUUCUUAUUUUUGCUCUUCUUUGUUUUCGAUAUGAUUUCAGGCAUUUAAAAAAGGACCCUCGUAUAUAAGGAUCUGUGUUGUGAUUUUGCAUUAAUUUGUAUUUUCGAUAUAAGUUUUGUUUUAAAUUUAUUAUAUCUUGAUCUUGCCAUUCUCUAUUCUUUUUAAUUUUCUUCUUCUUGCUUUUUUUGGGUUUUCUAAUAAUUUUCUUUAGUGAUAAAUCUGCGGCUUUUAGAAAAAUCUUAUUUAAAUCUUCUGCGGCAUUAUUAAUUGAAUCUUGGUCAUAAAUUUUAUCUUUAUACUGUCUAAUAAAAUUUUUGAUUUCAUUUGAAUUUAUGGCAUCUUGAAAUGCUGAGACUGAGUUAUCAUCCCAUAUAUAUUUAUCUGGCAUUAAAGCUAGAUUUAAGUUUCUUUCAUAAAUUUUUGUGUUGCAUUUUAACAUGCAUGAGAUCUGACAAUGAUCUGAGAAAUCAGGUAAAAAAUUAUGAGUGUGAAAAUAUGUGAAAUUUGGUAAGAGUUCCUCAGAUGCUAAAAAAUAAUCAACAACACUACUUCCUAAAGGUUGGAAGCAAGUGUGUGCACCCAUUAAAUCACCCAUUGUUCUGCCAUUAAGGAUACGCAAUGAUGAAGAUAUACAUAGAGAUAGGAGUUGUCUGCCCCUAGUGUUAAUAGAACUAUCUUUACUUUUUCUUUGAAUUAGACUAGAAUCACAUUUGUAAUUGUCAAAUAAUGGAAUAUGUUUGUCUGAAUCCAUUUGGAUAUGAUCAAUUUCACAAGCAGUUCUUGCAUUUAAAUCUCCUGCUAUCAUGAUUUUUCCUGAUUGGGAAUAUUUUACUAUAUCAUUUUCAAUCAUUUCAAGAAUAUUAUAAUCCAAUUUUCUAUAGUAGGAAGAAUUUUCAGGUGGAUUGUAUACAAAACAAAUGUAUAAAUCUUCCUGAAACCCGAAGAAUGUUCUGUCUAACUUUAACCAUAUAAAAUCAUUUGUGGCAUGUUCUAAAAAUUUAACACCCGGUCUUAUUGUAUUAAGUAUAUAUACUGACAAGCCACCAUGUCUUUUCCCACUAGGUUUGGUUCUAGGUCUUAUAAGAUGAACCGGUCUUUGAAAAUUUGGAAGUUCUAAACAAUUAUCCAGAUCACAGUGGGUUUCUUGCAAGCAAAAAAUGUCUUGCUGUAAAAGAUUGUCAACAAAAAUAUCAUCUUCAAAUUUGUUAAAUCCCUUACUAAUAUAACCAUUGAUAUUCCAUGUUGAAAUUUUCAAGUUUUUUUUUGUAUAAAUCAUGUGUGCUUACAAUGAUCAAUAAAAUAAGCAUACACUAAAACCAGUAAAUAUAAGUCAUAAAAAUAUGAGUUGCAUGUAACUGUGUACUACAGAGAUUUGUGAUGUAUAAAAUAAAGUACAUAUAUAUAUUUCUUUAUAUUCAUAAAAUUGUACAUUUUCUUAGGAAAUGUAUACAUAUAUCAGUUGUUGCGUGUGUGUACAUACAUGUAUUUCUAUAAUUUAUAGAUUCGCACAAUAUUUAUGUCUGAAGAUAUUGUAUACAGACUCUCUCUGUAGAGGAGAAGAGUUAAUAAUAAAAAUCAAAAAUUGUUACUUAUGAUAUACAUUUAUAAUAUAAUUCUUUUUUUUUUUUUUCUUUAAAAUCUAGUUCUCAUUCAUGUAUCUUUUAACAUGUUUUACAAAAUAAAAAAGUCAGUGUCAUGAUGGUCUUUUUAACUAACUUUAU